GACCGCUGCCGGCUUUCCCCGUGUCCCGGCAGCUAAGGCCACACGGACAGCCGGGUCGAAUGCCGA
rnacentral:sRNA from 1 species